rnacentral:rRNA from 1 species
UACGGGGGGAGCAAGCGUUGUUCGGAUUUACUGGGCGUAAAGGGCGGGUAGGCGGCCACCGCAAGUCGACUGUGAAAUCUCCGGGCUUAACCCGGAAAGGUCAGCCGAUACUGCGGGGCUAGAGUGCAGAAGGGGCAACUGGAAUUCUCGGUGUAGCGGUGAAAUGCGUAGAUAUCGAGAGGAAUACCUGCGGCGAAGGCGGGUUGCUGGGCUGACACUGACGCUGAACUGCGAAAGCUAGGGGAGCGAACGGG